GCAGUGGUGGUUCAGUGGUGGGAUUCUCACCUCCCAUGAGGGAGACCCGGGUUCGAUUCCCGGCCAAGGUA
rnacentral:tRNA from 1 species